rnacentral:rRNA from 1 species
AGUGAACGCUGGCGGUAGGCCUAACACAUGCAAGUCGAACGGCAGCACAGUAAGAGCUUGCUCUUACGGGUGGCGAGUGGCGGACGGGUGAGGAAUACAUCGGAAUCUACUUUUUCGUGGGGGAUAACGUAGGGAAACUUACGCUAAUACCGCAUACGACCUACGGGUGAAAGCAGGGGAUCUUCGGACCUUGCGCGAUUGAAUGAGCCGAUGUCGGAUUAGCUAGUUGGCGGGGUAAAGGCCCACCAAGGCGACGAUCCGUAGCUGGUCUGAGAGGAUGAUCAGCCAAACUGGAACUAGAACACGGUCCAAACUCCUACGGGAGGCAGCAGUGGGGAAUAUUGGACAAUGGGCGCAAGCCUGAUCCAGCCAUCCCGCGUGGGUGAAGAAGGCCUUCGGGUUGUAAGCCCUUUUGUUGGGAAAGAAAAGCAGCAGGUUAAUACCCCGCUGUUCUGACGGUACCCAAAGAAUAAGCACCGGCUAACUUCGUG